rnacentral:rRNA from 1 species
GACGAACGCUGGCGGCGUGCUUAACACAUGCAAGUCGAGCGGUAAGGCCCUUCGGGGUACACGAGCGGCGAACGGGUGAGUAACACGUGGGUGACCUGCCCUCCACUCUGGGAUAAGCCUGGGAAACUGGGUCUAAUACCGGAUAUGACCACGGGAUGCAUGUCUUGUGGUGGAAAGUUUUUUCGGUGGGGGAUGGGCCCGCGGUCUAUCAGCUUGUUGGUGGGGUGAUGGCCUACCAAGGCGACGACGGAUAGCCGGCCUGAGAGGGUGAUCGGCCACACUGGGACUGAGACACGGCCCAGACUCCUACGGGAGGCAGCAGUGGGGAAUAUUGCACAAUGGGCGAAAGCCUGAUGCAGCAACGCCGCGUGAGGGAUGAAGGCUCUAGGGUCGUAAAGCUCUGUCGUAUGGGAAGAAAAAAAUGACGGUACCAUACAAGAAAGGACCGGCCAACUUCGUGCCAGCAGCCGCCGUAA